AUGAACGCUGGCGGCGUGCCUAAUACAUGCAAGUCGAGCGAACAGACGAGGAGCUUACUCCUCUGACGUUAGCGGCGGACGGGUGAGUAACACGUGGAUAACCUACCUAUAAGACUGGGAUAACUUCGGGAAACCGGAGCUAAUACCGGAUAACAUGUUGAACCGCAUGGUUCAACAGUGAAAGACGGUCUUGCUGUCACUUAUAGAUGGAUCCGCGUCGCAUUAGCUAGUUGGUAAGGUAACGGCUUACCAAGGCAACGAUGCGUAGCCGACCUGAGAGGGUGAUCGGCCACACUGGAACUGAGACACGGUCCAGACUCCUACGGGAGGCAGCAGUAGGGAAUCUUCCGCAAUGGGCGAAAGCCUGACGGAGCAACGCCGCGUGAGUGAAGAAGGUCUUCGGAUCGUAAAACUCUGUUAUUAGGGAAGAACAAAUGUGUAAGUAACUAUGCACGUCUUGACGGUACCUAAUCAGAAAGCCACGGCUAACUACGUA
rnacentral:rRNA from 1 species